UUCCGUAGCCAAAUGGCAAAAAACGGAACCCUUAUGGAUUCGUCAUGUCUGUCUGUCUGUCUGUCCGUCCGUAUGUCACAGCCACUUUUUUUCCGAAACUAUAAGAAUUAUACUGUUGAAACAUGGUAUAUAAAUUUUCACACAAAAAUAGAAAAAAAAACAAUACAUUUUGGGGGUUCAGCAUACUUAGAACUGAAACUCAAACAUUUUUUUUUCAUCAAACCCAUACGUGUGCAUGGGCUAUCUAUGGAUAGGUGUUCAAAAAGGAUAUUGAGGUUUCUAAUAUAAUUUUUUUCUAAACUGAAUAGUUUGCGCGACACACAGACACUUCCAAAGUGGUAAAAUGUGUCCCCCCCCCCCGUAACUUCUAAAAUAAGAGAAUGAUAAAU